rnacentral:tRNA from 1 species
GCCUUGGUUCAAAGGUAGAACACCGGUCUUCCAAAUCGGUUAUGCGGGUUCGAUUCCCGCAGGC